CAGCAGUUUCACUCGAGUCAAGUCGAGUCAUUGGUUUAAGUCGAGUCAAGUCAAUAGCUAGACUUAACUUGAGUCAGGGAAUUUGAUCAAGUCCACCCACAUCCUUGUCCCCAGGGCCUCUCGGCCGCGCGCGUCCUCCCUAGGCCCUGGAACAUACGGAACCGGAAGUGCAAGUAAACUUGCAGUAGUUUCUAAAGCGCAUGGUC